CCCCCAACUCUGAAAAUUUGAC
rnacentral:rRNA from 1 species